rnacentral:rRNA from 1 species
GCUUGCUUCUCUUGAGAGCGGCGGACGGGUGAGUAAUGCCUAGGAAUCUGCCUGGUAGUGGGGGAUAACGUUCGGAAACGGACGCUAAUACCGCAUACGUCCUACGGGAGAAAGCAGGGGACCUUCGGGCCUUGCGCUAUCAGAUGAGCCUAGGUCGGAUUAGCUAGUUGGUGAGGUAAUGGCUCACCAAGGCGACGAUCCGUAACUGGUCUGAGAGGAUGAUCAGUCACACUGGAACUGAGACACGGUCCAGACUCCUACGGGAGGCAGCAGUGGGGAAUAUUGGACAAUGGGCGAAAGCCUGAUCCAGCCAUGCCGCGUGUGUGAAGAAGGUCUUCGGAUUGUAAAGCACUUUAAGUUGGGAGGAAGGGCAGUUACCUAAUACGUGAUUGUUUUGACGUUACCGACAGAAUAAGCACCGGCUAACUCUGUGCCAGCAGCCGCGGUAAUACAGAGGGUGCAAGCGUUAAUCGGAAUUACUGGGCGUAAAGCGCGCGUAGGUGGUUAGUUAAGUUGGAUGUGAAAUCCCCGGGCUCAACCUGGGAACUGCAUUCAAAACUGACUGACUAGAGUAUGGUAGAGGGUGGUGGAAUUUCCUGUGUAGCGGUGAAAUGCGUAGAUAUAGGAAGGAACACCAGUGGCGAAGGCGACCACCUGGACUGAUACUGACACUGAGGUGCGAAAGCGUGGGGAGCAAACAGGAUUAGAUACUCUGGUAGUCCACGCCGUAAACGAUGUCAACUAGCCGUUGGGAGCCUUGAGCUCUUAGUGGCGCAGCUAACGCAUUAAGUUGACCGCCUGGGGAGUACUGCCGCAAGGUUAAAACUCAAAUGAAUUGACGGGGGCCCGCUCAAGUCGGUGGAGCAUGUGGUUUAAUUCAAAGCAACGCAAAAAACCUUACCAGGCCUUGACAUCCAAUGAACUUUCUAGAGAUAGAAUGGUGCCCUCCGCAACAUUGU